AUCCAGACGACGAGUCCUAAACAGGACGAAACCCGCGUCAUAGAU
rnacentral:hammerhead_ribozyme from 1 species